rnacentral:lncRNA from 1 species
CGGCAAUGAUUUGAAUGAUUUAUCCGCGCUUCUGAGAGUAAUCAAUGAAGUAAAGGAUUUAAAAUGGUUGAAUUUCUUAAUAUGAGCCGACUAUUUUUUUUGUGAAAAUAUGCAGUGAUGAUUGAAUACACAGCUUUAAGCCAGUUCUGCUUCAGAGAAUUCAUGAUUGAUAGAGCUGUUAUUUACUCUGAGCUCAACUAAAUAUGUUUUUUUAAUUAUUUUCCAAUGAUGAUGUAAUCCAAUUGUAAGAGGUACGUGGAUCCAAGACCCUGUUUACAGGGAGAACCACUUGGUUGAAGCUGUAUUUCAAUUGAUAUUACUGGAUUUUACUGAGGAUUAUUAGUUUUUAUUAUUAUUAUUGAGUUUAAACUAUACUUUUUACCCUGGAUUAUUAAACGGGUUUGGAGUCUGAAAAAACUCAGAAAGUAUUGUGUUGUCAUCAGCUUCUUCUUUCGUAACAUUCACGAGACUGGAGUUAAAUAACAGCACUAAAUAUUUUCUUAUGAUAAUUUUUUAGUUAUUUAGUAUAUUUGAAAAAUAAACAUGUUUAAUAAAUAUGACUAUUUCAAUCGGCAAUGACUUGAUUGGUUUAUCCGCGCUUCUGAGUGUAACCUGUGAAGCAAAAGAUAUAAAAUGGUUGAAUUUCUUAAUAUGAGCCG